CGAGUAUUCCCUCCGUCCAGAAAUACUUGUCGGAAAAAUGCAUAAAAACAGAUGAAUCUAAAACUAAAAUAUGUAUAGAUACAUCCAUUCCUCCGACAAGUAUUUCCGGACGAAGGGAGUACUAU
rfam:Triticum aestivum genome assembly, contig: Triticum_aestivum_CS42_TGACv1_scaffold_592977_7BS